rfam:Kaistia sp. SCN 65-12 ABS35_C0507, whole genome shotgun sequence.
AGGGUGCUGCCCGGUGCGUGUUGGAUCAUUUUUCCCUGGGGCCGUACUGAUCCUUAAGGGAGCUGUACCUGACCGGACCCGUGGGUUCGGACAUACGGCGCCCACCUACGAAAGUAGGUUCCCAGGAUCUGUAUCCCACGGCCAGGGCGGCACCUGA